GUGAUAUCAGGUAAAAUGGGCCAUCAGGUAAAAUGGGCCAUUUAAGGUUUGGGGGUCCCAGCCCCUCUGGAAUUUAGAGCCAAUGACUGCAAAGGAUUUCAAACUGUUGUCAUAACUGUACUUGACAAGUAACAGGUGAUUUGAUUGGUUCAUGGUUGCUAUGGUGGGCAGUGCAAUAAUUCAAAUCAAGACUGCACCAGAAAGCUGCAUGUCUGUGAGAUCGGUCACAUUCAAUGACUUGAUCUCAAUGCCGCAAAGGGAGAGGGCCAUCAGAAAGAGAGUGAAGCCACCAUCGUAUAACCUAACAAGUGAGCAACACAUUGAAUAUAUUCAAACAAAAAAAUCAUCCAGCAAGCAUCCAGCCAAGCAAGCCAGCUGGUACCCGGGCAGCAAGCAACCGAAAGGGAAAAAAAGCAGGGCAAGAGAAGCAAAUCACCUUGCAAAGUCUGCAACACCCACUAUGGUGACCCAAAUGACCCUAAGGCUACUGAGGAAUGGUUAAAAUGUGUUCCAUGUUCUGCCUGGUUUCAUGAGAGCUGUGGUGAAGACAAUGGUAUCUGUGCUGACGAUGGUUUCAUUUGCAAAGACUGUGUUUGAAAAGUUUUCACACAAACAUAUCAGUUAAUAAUUUGGAAUGUGAAUUUUUGUAUUUUUGUGAAUGCACAUUUUGUUCUAAAUGUGUUGUUCACACACACACACACACACACACACACACACACACACACACACACACACACACACACACACACACACCCCACUGACAGUUCACUGAUCUAUGCUGUUCCAAAAUGGAUUUUUUUAAUUGCACAUUUGAAUAUGUGGGUUUGCACCCAAAAUGUUUUUUGAAUGGCACAUAUGAAUUUUUGUUUAAUGCAGUUUAAAUGUUAUGUGGCUGUAUAAGCAACUGUGUUUUAAAAUUAAAAUUGAUGAUAAAUGA